AUUGAACGCUGGCGGCAGGCCUAACACAUGCAAGUCGAGCGGAAACGGCAGUAUUGAAGCUUCGGUGGAUUUACUGGACGUCGAGCGGCGGACGGGUGAGUAACGGCUGGGAACCUGCCCUGACGAGGGGGAUAACCGUUGGAAACGACGGCUAAUACCGCAUAAUGUCUACGGACCAAAGGUGGCCUCUACAUGUAAGCUAUCGCGUUGGGAUGGGCCCAGUUAGGAUUAGCUAGUUGGUAAGGUAAUGGCUUACCAAGGCGACGAUCCUUAGCUGGUUUGAGAGGAUGAUCAGCCACACUGGGACUGAGACACGGCCCAGACCCCUACGGGAGGCAGCAGUGGGGAAUAUUGCACAAUGGGGGAGACCCUGAUGCAGCCAUGCCGCGUGUGUGAAGAAGGCCUUCGGGUUGUAAAGCACUUUCAGCAGUGAGGAAGGUAGUGUACUUAAUACGUGCAUUGCUUGACGUUAGCUGCAGAAGAAGCACCGGCUAACUCCGUGCCAGCAGCCGCGGUAAUACGGAGGGUGCGAGCGUUAAUCGGAAUUACUGGGCGUAAAGCGCAUGCAGGCGGUUUGUUAAGUCAGAUGUGAAAGCCCGGGGCUCAACCUCGGAACCGCAUUUGAAACUGGCAGGCUAGAGUCUUGUAGAGGGGGGUAGAAUUUCAGGUGUAGCGGUGAAAUGCGUAGAGAUCUGAAGGAAUACCAGUGGGCNNAGGCGGCCCCCUGGACAAAGACUGACNNNNAGAUGCGAAAGCGUGGGGUAGCAAANAGG
rnacentral:rRNA from 1 species